AAAUUUGUAUUACUGACCCUCAAAAAAAAAUUGCAUUAGUGAAUGAGCUUGAGCCCUUUUAUACAUUGAGAUGCGAAAUAUAUGUCAUAGCAUACACGUUUUCAAACAGUUCUGAUCAUUUUUUGCAAGUUGGCGUUUCAUAUAAUUUCGUUAUGCUUUCACUGCUGUAGAAUCAUCAUUAUUUGGGUUUAUUAGGUAUGCAUAGUGUUAGUCCGUAGCUCUUUCAGCACAACAAUUAUGGAAAAGCACAUAAAAUAUUGUGGUAAUGUCUGUCUUUAUUGUCAUGCGAGAUGUUUCUAUACAUAUAGUUGAUGGUCAUUAAAUACUUGGUUAAAAAUUUGAACAUUUCUUAGAGAGUUUAUGAUGAAUAAAUGGUUUGUAUGCAUGAGUUUCAUGUGGAGAUUUGCUACAUGGCUACAUAUAUCUAGCGUUCAGUUCCUUUUUGCUAGCUAAAGUACAAUUCAAUGAAACUAAUCAUUUUGCUUUUCGUUGAAGUUCUGUUGAAGUAGAAGGUAGGUGAUACGAGUCACAAAAGCCCAAAUUCUUGAAGGCGAGGCCCAAUAAGCAAAUUCCCAGCCCAAUCAAGAAAUCCAUCCAUACUUAGUUGAAAAUCAGGCCAAAUUGUCAAAGUGGCCCAAGUUGUAAAGUUUUAUUUUUAUUUUUAUUUAUUUAUUUAUUUAUUUACUUAGUUUAAAUUUUUAUGUCAAUAUUCAGUCCAAGAGUCUCAGAUAAAAUGACCUUUGACCGAAUUUCCAUAUUAAAAUAAUUAGGAGUUUUUUUUUAUUUUAGUUUUCUAAUUAGAUUAGGACUAGUUAUAAGGCCUAUUUAAAGGCAUGACUGUCCACCUUGUUAAACACUUAUCAUUAUUAUUAAAAUUUCAGAUUUGUUGAGAGCAGAAUUUUCUUUGAGUUUUCUCCAAGAUUUCUCUCUUGAGUUUUCUUUAGAAGUUGUUUUAACAAUCUUGUGAUUGUGGGAGCCAUCUUCAACCUUCUUCUUGCCAUUGAUAUUCUUUGGAGGGGAGAUUAGAGCCGUUUGAAGGGAGUUGUGAGAUCUUUCGAGAUUUCAAGGCUUCUUAGGACUUAUCUUUUAAUUUCUUACUGUCAAUUCUUUCUUUAUUUCUACUUGUGCUGAAUCAUUAUCUAAUCUAUUUUCUGUUCUUAUUGUGUUUUCAGCCUUUUUCUAUCUUAAGGAAUCAGCCCAAAAAUCCCCAAUUUCUAGGGUUUUUCCAUACUCUUUUUUGGGUGAAAUUAGAUUGUCGAAAUUUGGGGAAAACUAUCUUGGUGUUCAAUUGGGCAGAAUCACAAUCUCCUUGAGGGUUUCAAGAACCCUAACACUUAUUUCUAUUCUCAAUUUGAUUCUUUGCUGAUUUGGGGAUUUUAUUUUAGAUCUGAAAAUUCAAAAAUCUAAUCUUUUAAUUUUCUGUUUCGUUUCAGAUCUAAUUGUUUAGGGUUUUCGUAGGAGUUUCUCGUGACUUGGCAACUCGAUCUUGGUCCGCGCGCAACCCCGUAUCAUUUGGUAUCAGAUUUUGGGCGUUUUGGGUGUUCUUGGUUGAUUUCUAAACUGAUCUCUAUUUUUUAAAUUACAAACAGCAGUUUUACCCAGAAAAAUUUUCGAAAAAAAUUCAUUUGAGUGGGUAAACGUUUUCUGAUUGAUCUGAAAUUUUACAUACAUAUUUUUGGCACUGUUAUUGAAUAUACAAAAAUAUUUCCCGCAAAAAAAAUAAGUCGAAAAAGUCAAAAAAUUGAAAAAAGACGAAAUCUAAUAAAAAAUUAAAAAAAUAUUCAGCGGGUUGAAUUUGGUGCCCAAAUUUUCCAGAUCAAAAAUUAAAUAUAUAAGGACACUCUAGAUUUAAUUUCGUGAUUUUUGGAGAUCGGGAACACCUCGAACGAAGUUGUCAAAUUACUCCGCAGUUUUUCGGGUUUUCUGUUUUCAGCAAUUUUUAUUGAUUCUUAGCUGUAGGUUUUCAUUUGUUUACCUUUAUUCUUCCUUUACGUUAUCUAACACCUUCUUGUUUCUUGUGUUAGUAGGAUUUAAACGUAUGCACAACUUCUUCCUCGGUGCAACACGAAUCAAUUGGUGUCUCGUCAGUUUUUGGCAUCCUAGUGCAAAUUAGGAUUCUUUGGUAGUUUGGUUCACACUCUCUAAUUGGUUGAUAUAAACUCUGAUAAAGAACUCACAAGAUUGAAUUCGACCUCAUUGAGAAUUUGAAUUUUCUUUUUGAGUGAUUAAUGGUGAGGUUUGCUAACUUUUAUUUUUGAGUGUUGAGUGUUUAUUUUUUACAGGUUUUGAAGAUGUCUAAAGGUGAUAAUAAUGAUGCACUUAUGAAAGUCCAACAACAGUUAGAUGGACAUACUGCUGCAAUCACACAAAUAAAUGCUACACUUCAAGCAUUGAAUACUACUUUGAAUGAGGUACGAGUGAAUCAAAAACAUCAAUAUCGAGAUCCAAUUAAGGAAGAUAGGGAUAACCAACCCCAAAGGCGCGGCCCUCGACGUGUCACUAGAAUGGAUGAUGAUUUUCAUGAUCGUAGACAAUCAUCUUUGGCAAAACCAAGGAGCGAGCAGCAACGAGAACAUCUCUUUCAUACUCGCUGCCAUGUACAAGGUAAGCUUUGUAGAGUUAUUAUUGAUGGUGAAAGUUGCUCGAACAUAGCCAGCACGACGAUGGUGGAAAAGCUUUGCUUAACCACUACCAAGCAUCCACAACCUUAUCAACUACAAGGGCUUAGCAACGAAGGCCAAUUUAGGGUCACUCAACAAGUGCGCAUUGCCUUUUCUAUCGGUAAGUAUCAAGACGAAGUUGUGUGCGACGUAAUGCCUAUUCAAGCCUGCCAUUUGUUGCUAGGAGAACCAUGGCAACUGGAUCGAAAAGUCACUCACGAUGGUCGUACCAAUAGGUAUUCUUUCAAGCAUCAAGGAAAGAAACUUACCUUAGUGCCGCUCACUCCGGAACAAGUCCAUGAGGACCAAAUCAAACUAAGAAAUUCUGUUAAAACAAGUGAGGAAAAAGAAAAAGAGAAUGAAAAAGAGCAAAAAGAGAUUGAGAGUGAAAAGGAAUGUGAAACAGAAAAGAAAAUUGAAAAAGAAGUUGAAGAAAGAAGAGAAAAUGAGUUAGAAAAAGAAACAAAAGAAAAAGACGAGGAAAGGCUAGUGAGGAAUGUUUCCACUAACCAAGAUAUGAAUUUUUCUUGUGUUGCUACUUUUCAGGUUCCCGAAAGAUCGAAAGAUAACUUUCAACUUCAAUACCUCUCAAAUGAAAGACGCUUUCAUACGAUCAACUUAAGCAAAGAUGAAAUCACACUACAUGAUCCCGAAGGUAAGCGAGGUAAGGAAAUUUUAGAAACCGAGUCCAUUGCAGAUUUGAAAAUUAUUGAUAAAACUUUUGGUGACUUAGUUCUUAAAAUAUCCCCUCAUUUUGAUCCGAUUAAUUGUUACUCUUCGAUUGUGGUUGAUAAAGUCAUUACGAAAAGAAGCGUGAUUUGUUAUUCUCUUGAUUUACCUUGUGUAAAAUCCUCGAAUUUGUCCAAAUCUGUUUUCGAGAAUAAGGUAACGAAAUUUUCCAAAUUUGUUUUCAAUUUAUAUUCGUGCCUUAAACAGUUUAUGUGGUUGUACAUGAAGUUUGAGUUCCAUUUGACAAAGGUUAACUCAACAACGGAGAUUCGACUACACUAUGCCCCCGAUGAGCGAAAGUUUGUUUUAAAUGAAAAAGGUAAAAUCAACCCUUAUUCUUCUGCUUAUCGAGGUAAGAUGCUUGAAACCUUUGAAACACUUUUGUACUCCUUGGAUAGUGAUAAAGAUCGUGUUGAUGAACACUUAGAUCGAAACGUGCUUGACUGUCCUAUUUUAUUUAUUGAUGAUCUAUCUGUUUUGAUGAUUGAUAAAAAGAUUCUUGUUUUUGAUAAUGCAUGUGUGAGUGAAUCUAUAGACCGUCGAUUAAUGCAUGGUAUGAUUAUGCAACUCUGUGAACCAUGUGAAUCUUUUCAAAUACCUACUUGUGACGAUUAUGUUUACCAUUUGAUUUAUUACUCGCAAUUUAUUCAUGGUUUGUGGGAACAAUGUGAGACGACUGAAUGCCUUAAAACAUGUCCAUCUUUGUUUCAAAUAUUUGACGAGGCAGUGGUGAGUAAAUUAGAUUGUUUGCAUGGUAAUCUGAAUCUGUCCAUUCACAUACGUUAUACCUGUUCUGUUAUGCUUAUGAUUGGACUACAAGCUUGUUUCCGUUGCUAUUUACUAUCUCAUGGCUAUUCUUUUCAGUGGACUCAAUUGCCAUUAGUCCCGUUCGAUAGAGGAAAGUCGAGUUCAUUUGAUUUUUCAGAUUCGAGGACGAAUCUUUUUGAGGAAGGGGGGAAUGAUACGAGUCACAAAAGCCCAAAUUCUUGAAGGCGAGGCCCAAUAAGCAAAUUCCCAGCCCAAUCAAGAAAUCCAUCCAUACUUAGUUGAAAAUCAGGCCAAAUUGUCAAAGUGGCCCAAGUUGUAAAGUUUUAUUUUUAUUUUUAUUUAUUUAUUUAUUUAUUUACUUAGUUUAAAUUUUUAUGUCAAUAUUCAGUCCAAGAGUCUCAGAUAAAAUGACCUUUGACCGAAUUUCCAUAUUAAAAUAAUUAGGAGUUUUUUUUUAUUUUAGUUUUCUAAUUAGAUUAGGACUAGUUAUAAGGCCUAUUUAAAGGCAUGACUGUCCACCUUGUUAAACACUUAUCAUUAUUAUUAAAAUUUCAGAUUUGUUGAGAGCAGAAUUUUCUUUGAGUUUUCUCCAAGAUUUCUCUCUUGAGUUUUCUUUAGAAGUUGUUUUAACAAUCUUGUGAUUGUGGGAGCCAUCUUCAACCUUCUUCUUGCCAUUGAUAUUCUUUGGAGGGGAGAUUAGAGCCGUUUGAAGGGAGUUGUGAGAUCUUUCGAGAUUUCAAGGCUUCUUAGGACUUAUCUUUUAAUUUCUUACUGUCAAUUCUUUCUUUAUUUCUACUUGUGCUGAAUCAUUAUCUAAUCUAUUUUCUGUUCUUAUUGUGUUUUCAGCCUUUUUCUAUCUUAAGGAAUCAGCCCAAAAAUCCCCAAUUUCUAGGGUUUUUCCAUACUCUUUUUUGGGUGAAAUUAGAUUGUCGAAAUUUGGGGAAAACUAU
rnacentral:lncRNA from 1 species